CACGUAGGGUGCGAGCGUUGUCCGGAAUUAUUGGGCGUAAAGAGCUCGUAGGCGGUGUGUCGCGUCGGCCGUGAAAACCUGCAGCUUAACUGUGGGCUUGCGGUCGAUACGGGCAUCACUGGAGUUCGGCAGGGGAGACUGGAAUUCCUGGUGUAGCGGUGAAAUGCGCAGAUAUCAGGAGGAACACCGGUGGCGAAGGCGGGUCUCUGGGCAGUAACUGACGCUGGAGGAGCGGAAAGCCGUGGGGAGCGAACAG
rnacentral:rRNA from 1 species